ACCAGAUAAUAAUCACAUAAUCCACCUAGUCCCACUAGCCUCCCAGCCUCCCAGACUGUCCUUCCUAGUCUCACUAGCCAACACUCCUAGUCCCACUAGCCAACACUCCUAGUCCCACUAGCCAACACUCCUAGUCCCACUAGCCAACACUCCUAGUCCCACUAGCCAACACUCCUAGUCCCACUAGCCAACACUCCUAGUCCCACUAGCCUGAACCUCAGCCUCCCAGACUGAGCCUAGAAUAAUGAAUAAAAUGUGCUCAACAUUUGUUUGUAAAAAGUUUGUGGAUCUGGACUUAAGUGGUAUGCAGAAAAAUGUUUUCGUGAGAGCCCUAGUGAUCAUAGUCUAGACUCGAGAAUGAAUCCUAGUUCGCUAUGAUCAGAGCUCUGAUACCAAGCUGUCACACCCUGGCUUUGCGGAAGCGUGGUUAAUUUGUGUGACUUCUUAAUACCAUAGCUUAAUCAUAACAAAGCUAUAUGAAUUUAAAAACCAUGCAAGUCAUCCAUUAAGUUUUUGAAAACAUCAUACAAUACCAUUGUUUUUAACAUGCAACCAUAACCUUGUUCAGAAACAUAACAACUUAUAACAAAACAUAAACGUGAUUUAGGGAUUGUGUCUUGUCCAGGUAAGAGACACAACCCUAAACCCUGAUGACUUCAUGACCAGUGCAGCGGAAAACGUUCCAUACCGUGCCAGAUCCGUUUAAUUUCCUGAAAUACAUGUGAGUUGAAAAAUCAACAAUAAUGUUGAGCGAGUUCAUGCGUAAGUGAGUAUGUAAAACCUUUGUGAGUAUGAAAAUAGUUGUGGUAUGUAGCAGUGUAAGAGGACUUGUGAUCAUCAAUGGUUUGCAAGGCCACUGACAUAUGUGAAGUGCAAAUAGGGAGACUCAAACCUAGCAGAUUUAUGCCACGGCAAGUAUGUGGACAAAGUCACCCCACGGUCCGUUUCUAGUUUGGCCGGGGGCUGGGCUCGCUACACCCAGAUAGAUCUACCGCUCUUGUCCCUCGGUCCCUCCAUGAGGACUAAUGGCCCCAUGUUGUUCCUAUCCACUCACAUGAUCGUAUAACACCUCCUUACGUUAAACAUACCGUUGUAAAGUACUCGUAAAUCAUAGUAACAUGUAUUUCACCCCCGCAGUUAAGUAAAAUGAAAACAGUUAGAGAAAAGGGGGACAUGAACUCACAGUGAAUGCGUAUCUCUACCAAGUAAUCCGAAUAUCCGAAGCUGUGCAACGACCUACAGGUGCUAAUUCUAUUAGACGGAUGGCCGUGCCUUAGCUUUAUAACUUAUAUUUUUAGGAGACGGUUAGACAACCGUUUCGUGUACAUACUUGGUAUUUUACUUUCCUUCCCAAGGAUGGGGGAUUUAAAUACAUGUGUAUUUAUACUAACUCAUUAAGUCCCACUUAAUAUAUUUUUAUUUCUUAUUCCAAAAUAUAAUUAUUUUUCUCAAAAAUAAUAUAUUUUCUCUUUACAUAAUACAUUCCAAAAUAAUAUGUUGACAACAUACGUGUCGGUGAAUAUUUCCGCGUGAUGCGUAAGUUACGUUUUAAUGAUUAGGUGGUAAUAGAAAUUACCGCUGUAACUUUUAUGCUUGUCGUAUAAGCGUUUGUAUUAUUUUGGGUUUGACAAGUUAGUAAAUAUUAUUUUUACUCUAAAAAUAAUAUUUAUACAUUUUCACAAAAUAAUCAUAAACAGUGUUGUGACAAAAUAUAUUUACCGAAUAUAUAUUUAUCACGUUUGGUUUUGUGAAAAUCCCACCUCCGAUUAUUUAAUAAAUAAAGUCAUGGCGAAAUAUAGUUUUGAAAACAUGUCAAAAGUAGUCUAACACUUGUAAAUAAUUCUAAGUGUUAGAUUUUUAGAAAAUUUCGCCAGAGUUUCCCCUGUAACUGGAGGUGGCCACGCUUUCAAGCGUAUCAUUUUCUUUUACAAAAUCACUUCUUUUAUUUCAAUCAAUCAAUUUCCAACAUAAUAAACAAGUUUCAACACUUCGAAUUCGUAGAUUAGUGUGUAAAAUCACAAUAUUACAUGAACUUGUAGUUUUUCUAAAACUAUUAUGUAGAUCUCGUUAUAUUUAGUGGAUCUAUGUAUAAAAAUAGUUUAUUCUUGCAAAAACCCCGUUUUUGGAACAAAUCACUCUUUACAACUUCCCGACAAUUUUUAUAAAAAUUGUUAUUUUGUCGGAUCUUUCCUUUCACAAGUGUUUAUACACUUGUAGACUAUGAAAAUCACAUUUGUUAACCUGUUAUACAACUUUUAUAAAACAUGAUUUUCUCAACACCCGGUCCUCCGAAUAUACCACUUGUACAUACGUAGAUCGGCUCGUUUUAAAUACUAUUUUACAUGUUAAAACAUUUUUACACAAGUUCAUGUUUCCCGUGUGGUGGAGUUUCACCUUUUAACCCUUUGUACAAAAGAAACAAGUGUAUGUCAAGAUACGUGAUCCUAACAAAGUCGGGUUAAACGAUGAUGAGAGCCACCACAUCGUAGAUCGGGCCAUAAAGACCAACAUAUUCAAAUACUACGACCUUUACACAAGACAUGACCUUUUAUCCAACGAUUUUCAUGUUUUAGUAGACUUUUUAGAUUCAAAAGAUGGGUUACCGACUUUUAACCGUUAAAAAUCCUUUUAACCACUUUAGUUACGAUUAAAAACGAGUUUUAAAUGUUAUACCUCUAGCUCGGGGCUAGGGAAGAUCUUUGGCGAAAACGGCGUGGAUAAAAGAAAAUGCACCUGGUCCUUUAGCUUCCGUUUGCUUCAAGCUUCGUUGUAGGUGAUCCUUCACCCUUGGUUGUAUAAGAAAUUGCAAGAUGGAAAAAAAAUAAUAAUAGUGGGUGUAGGUGGGCUCUCGGCCGAGAGUAUCAAGAGAAGGAUAGGAAAAGUUUGUAAUUUUUGUUGAUUAGUUAUGGAGUGAAGUGUGACCUCUUAGCCACUUUUAUAAUCCAAGUUCUUUAUUUACCCACUAAAUAAUAUGUUUAGUAAACAUUGGACAAACAAUCAAAUAAAUAUCCAAAAUGUAAGGGUGGUACUCCCUAGGGGUAACCGAUCGGCUGUAAAUAGGGGGUGUUAUGGUUGAUGUUGAACUAAAUUAGUUAAGUGAUAUUAGUUUCGGAUAUUAGAUGUUAGGUUCAUUCAACUUAAAUAAGGAUGUGUACGAGGUUUACAUUGUUAAACAAUGUUAGCUCAUUUUCAUAAUAUGCUUAGUUAGUGUUUGGAUAUUUGACCGGGUGUUAUGUAAUAUAACGGGUGUUAGGGUAUUCGGAGACCCUAACUAGCUCAGAAAAAGUGUAACAAUGUUUUUAAUAAUAUAUUUGUGUUCCGGGUAAAGUCCGGUUGUUCG
rnacentral:lncRNA from 1 species